GAUAAGGUUGGACAAUUCUUUUGUUCUGAUUCUCAUGCUUACAAGUUGCAAGAACUGUAAUCUAGCACACAUCUCCUACGAUAUAUUUGAUGAACAACUCGAUUUCAUCAUGAAUGAACUUCUUAAAAGGAAAGUCUUUUGCAUGCUAGGCACGGAACAAUCUUUCGAAUACAUGGCAUUCAAGACUCAGGUACUCAUUACAGCGAAUUUCGGGAGGUAAAGUUCAGUAGCCCAGAAUUUAUAAGUGGAAUGUGACAUCUGUUGAUACCGACGUCUUUAAAGAAAUUGGUCCCUCAAGUGGUCUCAAGUUGUAAAUCGAUUCUCACAGGUGUUGUUAACCUUUUGUUUUCUCUGAGAGUAGAGUUAGUUUUGUAUCAUCUCCAUACAUUUUUUUUGUACUUUUGACUGUUUAUAUUCUUCUCUUUUUCCUCAA